rnacentral:rRNA from 1 species
UCUUGGCUCUUGCAUCGAUGACGAACGCAGCAAACCGCGAUAGGUAGUGUGACAUGCGGAUACCGUGAAUCAUUAACUUUUCGAACGCA